UACGAAGGGGGCUAGCGUUGCUCGGAAUCACUGGGCGUAAAGCGCACGUAGGCGGAUCUUUAAGUCAGGGGUGAAAUCCUGGAGCUCAACUCCAGAACUGCCUUUGAUACUGGGGAUCUCGAGUCCGGAAGAGGUGAGUGGAACUCCGAGUGUAGAGGUGAAAUUCGUAGAUAUUCGGAAGAACACCGGUGGCGAAAGCGGCGCGCUGGACCUCUUCUGACGCUGAGGAGCGAAAGCCAGGGGAGCAAACGGG
rnacentral:rRNA from 1 species